AUUGAACGCUGGCGGCAUGCCUUACACAUGCAAGUCGAACGGCAGCACGGGAGCAAUCCUGGUGGCGAGUGGCGAACGGGUGAGUAAUAUAUCGGAACGUGCCCAGUCGUGGGGAUAACGUAGCGAAAGCUACGCUAAUACCGCAUACGAUCUAUGGAUGAAAGCGGGGGAUCGCAAGACCUCGCGCGAUUGGAGCGGCCGAUAUCAGAUUAGGUAGUUGGUGAGGUAAAGGCUCACCAAGCCGACGAUCUGUAGCUGGUCUGAGAGGACGACCAGCCACACUGGGACUGAGACACGGCCCAGACUCCUACGGGAGGCAGCAGUGGGGAAUUUUGGACAAUGGGCGCAAGCCUGAUCCAGCAAUGCCGCGUGCAGGAUGAAGGCCUUCGGUUGGUAACUGCUUUGUUACGGAACGAACGGUAGAGGCUCUAAUACAGUUGUCUAAUGACGGUACCGUAAGAAUAAG
rnacentral:rRNA from 1 species